rnacentral:rRNA from 1 species
AGCGAACGCUGGCGGCAGGCCUAACACAUGCAAGUCGAACGAAGUCUUCGGACUUAGUGGCGGACGGGUGAGUAACACGUGGGAACGUGCCCUUUGGUACGGAAUAACUCAGGGAAACUUGAGCUAAUACCGUAUGUGCCCUUCGGGGGAAAGAUUUAUCGCCAUUGGAGCGGCCCGCGUCUGAUUGGCUAGUUGGUGAGGUAAAGGCUCACCAAGGCGACGAUCAGUAGCUGGUCUGAGAGGAUGAUCAGCCACAUUGGGACUGAGACACGGCCCAAACUCCUACGGGAGGCAGCAGUGGGAAAUCUUGCGCAAUGGGCGAAAGCCUGACGCAGCCAUGCCGCGUGAAUGAUGAAGGUCUUAGGAUUGUAAAAUUCUUUCACCGGGGACGAUAAUGACGGUACCCGGACAAGAAGCCCCGGCUAACUUCGUGCCAGCCGCCGCUGUAACAC